AAACCAACAGGGAUUGCUCUAGUAACGGCGAGUGAAGCAGCAAUAGCUCAAAUUUGAAAUCUGGCGUCUUCGGCGUCCGAGUUGUAAUUUGUAGAGGAUGCUUCUGGGCAGCCACCGACCUAAGUUCCUUGGAACAGGACGUCAUAGAGGGUGAGAAUCCCGUAUGCGGUCGGAAAGGCACCCUACACGUAGCUCCUUCGACGAGUCGAGUUGUUUGGGAAUGCAGCUCUAAAUGGGAGGUAAAUUUCUUCUAAAGCUAAAUAUUGGCCAGAGACCGAUAGCGCACAAGUAGAGUGAUCGAAAGAUGAAAAGCACUUUGGAAAGAGAGUYAAAAAGCACGUGAAAUUGUUGAAAGGGAAGGGAUUGCAACCAGACUUGCUCGCGGUGUUCCGCCGGUCUUCUGACCGGUCUACUCGCCGCGUUGCAGGCCAGCAUCGUCUGGUGCCGCUGGAUAAGACUUGAGGAAUGUAGCUCCCUCGGGAGUGUUAUAGCCUCUUGUGAUGCAGCGAGCGCCGGGCGAGGUCCGCGCUUCGGCUAGGAUGCUGGCGUAAUGGUUGUAAUCCGC
rnacentral:rRNA from 1 species